rnacentral:lncRNA from 1 species
UCUUCGCUAUAUAGCUCGGCAGCAUGACUAGUUGGACAUCUCGCGUCUCGGUAACACUUUUAGCCGGAGUAGCCUUGCCGCUGAUCCCCAUAUUGACACGGCCAGAUGCACGGGGACAUUAAAGGCCGGGGGGCCCCACCAAUGCAGAUAGGAGGGGAGUCGGGGGUGCGCGCGUCUUGAUCCCGUGUCCCUAGUCUUGUCUUGUCCCGGUGUCGCGUGGUUGGCCCGUGCCCUCAGUGUUGCUUUUGCCCUCGGCUCUCGGCGUUCGCUCUUUCACGCUCUCACGCUUGUUGCAUUUCUCGCGUGCUCGACGAGUUUGGCGUUGCGUCAACGUGAACGUGAAAUUUUGGGGCUUCGAGUCACGCGUGUGCGUGAUGCUCUCUGUGCACUCGCCACAGGAGUCGUUUUGAAAUUUUUGAAAUGAUAUGUGACUGAUACACGUAAUUGUAUCUGUGUAGUGUGCGUGGACUUUUUCUUCGGGAUGGGACGAGUGGAAUCAUUUUAAGGGGAAAAUAGUGCUGUUAUAUACAUUGGGCAUUUUCAGAGGAAAUUCCGGUUGGAUUAAGAACGAGGUAAAAAAAGGGGGUGAGGUAAUAUUUGUUUCUCAAGCAUCGGAGGGAACCGCUCACACAGUGCCGGAAGUCGAGAGUUCGAAAUGUCAUAUGGAUUAAUUAUUUAUGAACUUAUUUCCGAUAACAGUGAACAGAUUUGAAAAAUGCAAAAAUUCAAACUGUAAUUUUUGAAUGAACCGAGUGCUCAUUGCUCCGCGUGACUUGUGGUUGAGAUAUUUCGUAUAUUCCUGAUUCUUUUCGGCGAAAAGAAGAGGAGGUGAUUUUACAAGGAUACGAGUUUUCGAGGUUCGGAACAAUGAAUGCGGCCAAUAGUUCGACAACUUUAGACAUGGAAAACUGGUACCUGAAUUUACGAAACACAUGUCUAGAAAAAAUACGCAGAAUGCAAAUCGUCUUCCCAAACGAUACAGUGGAGUCGAAGAAAUACUGCAAAACUGCUUUCGAUGGCUGGUCAUGCUGGAACGUCACAUUAGCCGGAGAGACCUCGUUUGUGCCUUGCCCCAGUUUAUAACAGGGUUUGACCCGAAAAGUAAGUAAAAUUUGAUUAAAAUAUUUCGAACUCUUUUUUUGAGCUUUUUCAAUGGUAAGUUUUAAAACUAGGCCUUGUCCACACGAGCACAGUUAUGGCGAAUAAG